rnacentral:rRNA from 1 species
UACGGAGGGGGCUAGCGUUGUUCGGAAUUACUGGGCGUAAAGCGCACGUAGGCGGCUUUGUAAGUUAGAGGUGAAAGCCCGGGGCUCAACUCCGGAAUUGCCUUUAAGACUGCAUCGCUAGAAUUGUGGAGAGGUAAGUGGAAUUCCGAGUGUAGAGGUGAAAUUCGUAGAUAUAGGAAGGAACACCAGUGGCGAAGGCGACCACCUGGACUGAUACUGACACUGAGGUGCGAAAGCGUGAGGAGCAAACAGG